rnacentral:rRNA from 1 species
UACGUAGGGGGCAAGCGUUGUCCGGAAUUAUUGGGCGUAAAGCGCGCGCAGGCGGUUCUUUAAGUCUUGUGUUUAAUCCCGGGGCUCAACCUCGGUUCGCAUGGGAAACUGGGGAACUGGAGUGCAGGAGAGGAAAGUGGAAUUCCACGUGUAGCGGUGAAAUGCGUAGAGAUCGGGAGGAACACCUGUGGCGAAGGCGGCCGACUGGGCCGACCCUGACGCUGAGGCGCGAAGGUGUGGGGAGCGAACGGG